rnacentral:rRNA from 1 species
GACGAACGCUGGCGGCGUGCUUAACACAUGCAAGUCGAACGGAAAGGCCCUGCUUUUGUGGGGUGCUCGAGUGGCGAACGGGUGAGUAACACGUGAGUAACCUGCCCUUGACUUUGGGAUAACUUCAGGAAACUGGGGCUAAUACCGGAUAGGAGCUCCUGCUGCAUGGUGGGGGUUGGAAAGUUUCGGCGGUUGGGGAUGGACUCGCGGCUUAUCAGCUUGUUGGUGGGGUAGUGGCUUACCCAGGCUUUGACGGGUAGCCGGCCUGAGAGGGUGACCGGCCACAUUGGGACUGAGAUACGGCCCAGACUCCUACGGGAGGCAGCAGUGGGGAAUAUUGCCCAAUGGGCGGAAGCCUGAUGCAGCAACGCCGCGUGCGGGAUGACGGCCUUCGGGUUGUAAACCGCUUUCGCCUGUGACGAAGCGUGAGUGACGGUAAUGGGUAAAGAAGCACCGGCUAACUACGUG